CCUGAAAAGUAUCUUUUCCAACAGAAUCAUACACAACUUCAACUCCUUGGCCAGAUGUGAUCUCAUUGACACGAGUGACGAAAUCCUCUUCCUUAUAGAUUAUGACAUGAUGACACCCAUCAUCUUUAGCUUGGGCUGCUUUCUCUUUAGUUGAUACAGUCCCAAUGACUGUAGCACCAAGGGCAUUUGCCCAUUGGCACAAUAGGGAGCCAACCCCACCUGCUGCAGCAUGAACAAGUACUGCGUGCCCACGUUCAACUUUGAAGCAGCGGCGCAGUAGGAACUGAGCAGUCAUGCCCUUGAGAAGUAUGGAUGCUACAACAAUGGGGUCAAUUGAGGGAGGAACAGGCACAACUUUAUCAGCAGGAAGGAUCUGUUCCUCAGCAUAUGCACCCAUCACACCACCAGCAUAUGCAACAAUAUCACCAACUUUCCUCCCAGUCAAUCCGGGACCAACAGCUGUUACAACCCCUACAGCCUCCAUACCUGGUGUAAAGGGAAAUGCAGCAGCUUUGUAGACUCCUUUCCGGAAAUAUAUGUCAAUGAAGUUGAGGCCAAUGACCUUAUUCUUCACCCUGAUCUCUCCAUCUUUUGGGUCUCCCAGUUCAACGUCCUCCCAUUUGAGGACCUCAGGACCACCAAGUUCAUGAACCCUAAUGGCUUUGACCAUUGAUGCUGGUGAUACAGAGUGAGCUCUUACUGCUAAUCUGACAGUAGUUGUUUGUAAAGGAAUACACUUGCGGCCUUUUUGAUUACUAGUAGUAAUAGCUCUUGUGAAGCGAGAAAUGAAAGAAUUAGGUAGAAGAAGAUUGUAGCAACGAAGUGAAGU
rnacentral:misc_RNA from 1 species